GGCCUCCUACGGGACGCAGCAGUCGAGAAUCAUUCACAAUGGGGGAAACCCUGAUGGUGCGACGCCGCGUGGGGGAAUGAAGGCCUUCGGAUUGUAAACCCCUGUCAUGUGGGAGCAAAUUAAAAAGAUAGUACCACAAGAGGAAGAGACGGCUAACUCUGUGCCAGCAGCCGCGGUAAUACAGAGGUCUCAAGCGUUGUUCGGAAUCACUGGGCGUAAAGCGUGCGUAGGCUGUUUCGUAAGUCGUGUGUGAAAGGCGCGGGCUCAACCCGCGGCCGGCACAUGCUACUGCG
rnacentral:rRNA from 1 species